rnacentral:rRNA from 1 species
GCUGUCGUCAGCUCGUGUCGUGAGAUGUUGGGUUAAGUCCCGCAACGAGCGCAACCCUCGUGCCUAGUUGCCAACGGCUCGGCCGGGAACUCUAGGCAGACUGCCGGUGACAAACCGGAGGAAGGUGGGGAUGACGUCAAGUCCUCAUGGCCCUUAUGGGCAGGGCUACACACGUGCUACAAUGGCCGGUACAGAGGGUCGCCAACCCGCAAGGGGGAGCCAAUCCCAAAAAGCCGGUCGUAGUCCGGAUCGGAGUCUGCAACUCGACUCCGUGAAGUCGGAAUCGCUAGUAAUCGCGAAUCAGCAAUGUCGCGGUGAAUACGUUCCCGGGCCUUGUACACACCGCCCGUCACACCAUGGGAGUUGGCUCUGCCUGAAGUCGCCGGGAGCCCUUCGGGGCAGGCGCCUAGGGCCGGGCUCAUGACUGGGGCUAAGUCGUAACAAGGUAGCC